AUCAAGCCAACCUCUUUAAUCCACAACUAUAAUGGAAAUAAUUUCUUUUUUUACAUAUCCUGUCACUUAACUUCUCGAUAUGAGAAAUUUCUACAUACAUCUGAAUGUAAAAAUAGCCACUUGAAAGGAAAUUUCUUGCACUAACUAAUUGUAAAAAGAAUAUAAAAUACAAUUAUUUAAACCGUUAAAUUAGAAAAAAAAAAAAAA
rnacentral:misc_RNA from 1 species